AAUAUUGCACAAUGGAGGGAACUCUGAUGCAGCAACGCCGCGUGAGUGAAGAAGGUUUUCGGAUCGUAAAACUCUGUCAUUGGGGAAGAAUAAAUGACGGUACCCAAGAAGAAAGCCCCGGCUAACUACGUGCCAGCAGCCGCGGUAAUACGUAGGGGGCAAGCGUUGUCCGGAAUUAUUGGGCGUAAAGGGUGCGUAGGCGGCCUUUUAAGUCAGAUGUGAAAGCCCACGGCUUAACCGUGGGAUUGCAUUUGAAACUGGAAGGCUUGAGUAUCGGAGAGGGUAGUGGAAUUCCCAGUGUAGCGGUGAAAUGCGUAGAUAUUGGGAGGAACACCAGUGGCGAAGGCGACUACCUGGACGAAAACUGACGUUGAGGCACGAAAGCUAGGGGAGCAAACA
rnacentral:rRNA from 1 species